CCAACGCCAGGGAACUACGAGCAAUGCUUAAAACCCAAAGGACUUGACGGUGUCCCACCCACCUAGAGGAGCCUGUUCUAUAAUCGAUGAUCCCCGCUACACCUAACCAUUCCUCGCCUUUCAGUCUGUAUACCUCCGUCGAAAGCCUACCAUGUGAACGCUUAUAGUAGGCCCAAUGAUUCUCAUCAACACGUCAGGUCAAGGUGCAGCUCACGGAACGGAAAGCAAUGGGCUACAAUUUCUAAUUUAGAACAUACGAAAGACUAUGUGAAAUCCUAGUCAUGAAGGCGGAUUUAGUAGUAAAAGGAAAAUAGAGUGUUCCUUUUAACCUGGCUCUGGGACGCGUACACACCGCCCGUCACCCUCA
rnacentral:rRNA from 1 species